rnacentral:sRNA from 1 species
GCUGGGCAUGGUGGUGCAUGCCUGUAAUCCCAGCUACUUGGGAGGCUGGGGCAGGAGAAUCACUUGAAUUUGGGAGGUGGAGAUUGCAGUGAGCUGAGAUUAUGCCACUGCACUUCAGCCCAGGCAACAGAGUGAGACUUUGUCUCAA